CCUACGGGUGACAGCAGUGGGGAAUAUUGGGCAAUGGGCGCAAGCCUGACCCAGCAACGCCGCGUGAAGGAAGAAGGCCCUCGGGUUGUAAACUUCUUUUUACAGGGACGAAGAAAGUGACGGUACCUGUUGAAUAAGCCUCGGCUAACUACGUGCCAGCAGCCGCUGUAAUCCGUAGGUGGCAAGCGUUCACCGGAUUUACUGGGUGUAAAGGGCGUGUAGGCGGGAGGGCAAGUCAGACGUGAAAUUCCAGGGCUCAACCCUGGAACUGCGUUUGAAACUGUUCUUCUUGAGUGAUGGAGAGGCAGGCGGAAUGCGGUGUGUAGCGGUGAAAUGCGUAGAUAUACGGAGGAACACCAGUGGCGAAGGCGGCCUGCUGGACGUUAACUGACGCUGAGGCGCGAAAGCGUGGGGAGCAAACAGGAUUAGAUACCCGAGUAGUC
rnacentral:rRNA from 1 species